CAAAGUUUCAACCGUAUCUUAUGGUGAAGAGAAACCUGCAGUAUUAGGUCACGAUGAAGCUGCAUAUUCUAAAAACCGUCGUGCGGUGUUAGCUUACUAAUUAAAAUAUAGCUAAGUAAUAGAAGCAGAGUGCGCAAUG
rnacentral:other from 1 species